AACGCGAAGAACCUUACCUGGUCUUGACAUCCACAGAACUUUCCAGAGAUGGAUUGGUGCCUUCGGGAACUGUGAGACAGGUGCUGCAUGGCUGUCGUCAGCUCGUGUUGUGAAAUGUUGGGUUAAGUCCCGCAACGAGCGCAACCCUUAUCCUUUGUUGCCAGCGAUUCGGUCGGGAACUCAAAGGAGACUGCCAGUGAUAAACUGGAGGAAGGUGGGGAUGACGUCAAGUCAUCAUGGCCCUUACGAGUAGGGCUACACACGUGCUACAAUGGCAUAUACAAAGAGAAGCGACCUCGCGAGAGCAAGCGGACCUCAUAAAGUAUGUCGUAGUCCGGAUUGGAGUCUGCAACUCGACUCCAUGAAGUCGGAAUCGCUAGUAAUCGUAGAUCAGAAUGCUACGGUGAAUACGUUCCCGGGUCUUGUACACACCG
rnacentral:rRNA from 1 species